rnacentral:rRNA from 1 species
AGUGAACGCUGGCGGUAGGCCUAACACAUGCAAGUCGAACGGCAGCACAGUAAGAGCUUGCUCUUACGGGUGGCGAGUGGCGGACGGGUGAGGAAUACAUCGGAAUCUACUUUUUCGUGGGGGAUAACGUAGGGAAACUUACGCUAAUACCGCAUACGACCUACGGGUGAAAGCAGGGGAUCUUCGGACCUUGCGCGAUUGAAUGAGCCGAUGUCGGAUUAGCUAGUUGGCGGGGUAAAGGCCCACCAAGGCGACGAUCCGUAGCUGGUCUGAGAGGAUGAACAGCAACAGUGGAACUGAGAAACGGCCAAGCCCCAACGGGGGGGAAACGGUGGGGAUUAUUGAAAAAGGGGCGAAAGCCGGACCCACCCAUCCCGGGGGGUGAAAGAGGGCCUUGGGGUGGAAAGCCUUUUUUGUGGGAAAAAAAAAACAGGAGGUAAACACCCCGUUGUUCGGAGGGUCCACAAAAAAAAAGCCCCGGCAAACUUGGUC